rnacentral:rRNA from 1 species
UGGGGAAUAUUGCACAAUGGGCACAAGCCUGAUGCAGCGACGCCGCGUGGGGGAUGACGGCCUUCGGGUUGUAAACUCCUUUCGCUAGGGACGAAGCUUUUUGUGACGGUACCUAGAUAAGAAGCACCGGCUAACUACGUGCCAGCAGCCGCGGUAAUACGUAGGGUGCGAGCGUUGUCCGGAAUUACUGGGCGUAAAGGGCUCGUAGGUGGUUUGUCGCGUCGUCUGUGAAAUUCCGGGGCUUAACUCCGGGCGUGCAGGCGAUACGGGCAUAACUUGAGUACUGUAGGGGUAACUGGAAUUCCUGGUGUAGCGGUGAAAUGCGCAGAUAUCAGGAGGAACACCGAUGGCGAAGGCAGGUUACUGGGCAGUUACUGACGCUGAGGAGCGAAAGCAUGGGUAGCGAACAGG